UGAGACAGAACACUGUUGGAUGCAUUCCUUCGCUAGCAGGGCUUCGGCCCAUCUCAAUGGAAAAGUCUUUGGUCUGUAAUCUCGUACUCUCGACCGGCUCGAACCACUACGUUAUCCAUGUUUAAACUUCCAUUAUCUCAUAUCUAAUCAACAUGAUAUAAUAUUUGAUUAAUUGAAUACACAAUGUGUUUGAAAAGAUGAUGAGAAAGUCCAAUCUUAGAAUCAAACUUUAUAACAUAGUUUGUUCCAUUUUCAAAGUGAAAACAACUAAGUAAUAAAAUAUAUCAACUUCAAAUCACUCUCUCCUUGAAGUUGUGCCUUUUUCUUUAAGCUCCCCUUUAACUUGUAUUCUCCUCUUUUUUUUUUUUGUUUCUUACUUUCCUUUCUCUCUAUGUUAUGUUGUUCCCCUUUCUAAGCAUAACAACAAUAAGGGAGUUGACUAUUUCUCAUUUUCGUUCAUGAAAUCAAAUAUUCGAAGUUUUUUCUAAGGA
rnacentral:lncRNA from 1 species